ACACGAAAGCACGCAGGCCCGGUGGACGGGCAGCGGGCGGGACGCGCCAGGUCGAAGGAACGCCUCGCACCGGCGCCAAGCGAACGGUGAUGGAAUACGUGUCCGAGCUGCCGCGCUUUCUGCGCAUGCUCUGGGGCCUCGUAACCGACGCGCGCGUGGCGCUUCUCGACAAACUGCUGCUGGCUGGGGCGAUCGCGUACAUCGUGAUGCCCGUGGACUUCAUCCCCGACUUCAUCCCCUUCCUGGGCGAAGUGGAUGACGUCUAUCUGCUGGUGCUCGCCGUGCGUCGUCUUCUCGAAAACGCCGGUCGCACGGUUCUGAUGUCCCACUGGACGGGUGAUCCCGCAGCACUGCGCGAAAUGAACCUGCGAAAAGUGAUGAUGGCCGCUGCGUUCUUCAU
rnacentral:misc_RNA from 1 species